UGGGGGAUAUUGCACAAUGGGGGAAACCCUGAUGCAGCAACGCCGCGUGAAGGAAGACGGUUUUCGGAUUGUAAACUUCUGUUCUUAGUGACGAUAAUGACGGUAGCUAAGGAGAAAGCUCCGGCUAACUACGUGCCAGCAGCCGCGGUAAUACGUAGGGAGCGAGCGUUGUCCGGAAUUACUGGGUGUAAAGGGAGCGUAGGCGGGAGAUCAAGUCAGAUGUGAAAACUACGGGCUCAACCCGUAACCUGCAUUUGAAACUGGUUUUCUUGAGUGAAGUAGAGGCAGGCGGAAUUCCGAGUGUAGCGGUGAAAUGCGUAGAUAUUCGGAGGAACACCAGUGGCGAAGGCGGCCUGCUGGGCUUUUACUGACGCUGAGGCUCGAAAGCAUGGGGAGCAAACA
rnacentral:rRNA from 1 species